GAUGAACGCUGGCGGCGUGCCUAAUACAUGCAAGUCGAGCGAAUGGAUUAAGAGCUUGCUCUUAAGAAGUUAGCGGCGGACGGGUGAGUAACACGUGGGUAACCUGCCCAUAAGACUGGGAUAACUCCGGGAAACCGGGGCUAAUACCGGAUAAUAUUUUGAACUGCAUGGUUCAAAAUUGAAAGGCGGCUUCGGCUGUCACUUAUGGAUGGACCCGCGUCGCAUUAGCUAGUUGGUGAGGUAACGGCUCACCAAGGCAACGAUGCGUAGCCGACCUGAGCGGGUGAUCGGCCACACUGGGACUGAGACACGGCCCAGACUCCUACGGGAGGCAGCAGUAGGGAAUCUUCCGCAAUGGACGAAAGUCUGACGGAGCAACGCCGCGUGAGUGAUGAAGGCUUUCGGGUCGUAAAACUCUGUUGUUAGGGAAGAACAAGUGCUAGUUGAAUAAGCUGGCACCUUGACGGUACCUAACCAGAAAGCCACGGCUAACUACGUGCCAGCCGCCGCUGUAA
rnacentral:rRNA from 1 species